UAAUCUGAGCCGUUGGAUCCUUCUAAAUUCUCAAUAAAUAACGACAUCCUCCAUCAUUCAUGCAUACCUUUCCUUCUAUUCGCAAUAUCUGUUUCUCCAGAUCUCGUCUUCGUAGUUUAUCUUCUUUAAAUUUCAUGUUCAGAUCUGUGUAGAUCGGUUUUCGAUCUACCUUUUGAAUAUGGUUUUGCUGUGUUUCUAUAACAGCUCGGCCAUUGACCAACCGAGCGGUGUAACUGUUCGAUGUCCGUCUACUGUGGCCUUUGGUUGACGAGGAGCUUGUAGAUCUGAUCCUUUUCGCAAUGGUUCGAUGGAGCUGAGCAUCAGAUCUGUUUGGUCUUCAGAGAUUUGUUGAGGUUGGAUCAGUAGUUUGAGCAACCGAGGUGUUAUUUUACCGAGGCUUCAACCGUUGUUCACUAGAGCUUUACCGAUCUGAAUAGAGAUGCAAGGACUACUGAAUCGGUGCUGCCGUCAUCUUGAGUCAAUUGGUUUGGACCGGUGAUCAUCGAUCGGGGAUUGAAAUCAGCUAGCCUGAUGGUGUAUCUAAGGUUAUAAUAGUUUAAUUUGAUGUCUAUAAUUAUUUGAAUGGCUCAUGUGCAUUAGUUUUUCAUUUUAUGCAUGCAUAUGUACGAGAGGAUGAAAGAUUGAGAGACUUUGUGUGAAAUAUGAGAGGAAAAAGUGAGGUAUUUAUUGUUCAUGUUACCAGGCCUUUGCCAUGUUGGGUGCGCUCACCUGGCAGGUCAAAAGUACCUAAUAAAAGUAUUUAUUUUGGGUGUUGGAGAGGAGACGGCACGGGGCAAAACCCCCGGCUCUCCUCUCUUCGCGUGUGUGUCCUUUUUUUUAUUUUUUUCCUGUUCUUUCCUUGCUCCUGCGUUCAACAACUUUGCGUCGUCAGUGGUUACUUGUCGUUGAAAAGGCCUUGUGAUUACUGUUGUGUAUUUUGAGGCGAGGCCUGUUCAAGGACAAGUAACUCAUGUUGAUUUGCUCACCACGACGAUGGACACAAGCAACGUUUCUACUGCAGCACGACACUAGAGGUACAAUAUCAAUUCUCGAAGUAAGUUAACUUUCAUAUUUUUCAUAGUAACAUUUAUCAAUUCUAAAUUAAUUGCCUUAAUUAUAACGCGUACACCAAUACUCAUAUAAGAACUUCCAGAUAGCAAUUCUGGAAAUAUUUAAAAAAGCUGAAAUGCUCACAGGUUGGACUUUUAUGUUAAGCACUUGCACCUCUCUAUGGAAGUUACUUUAGAACAUAUUUUGGCCGUGGUUAAUUGGCUUGUGAACUUGCCAUUUUUUUCCAGAGCACCUCAUAAUAUUCCCAUGAAGUGGUUUAAUAAAAUUUAUGCUCCUAAAUAGGACCCCUAAUGCAUGAUGUUCCAUGAAAAUGGUAAUUACACCUUUAUUGGUUAUGGUAAGCUUAUGUUCUAAUAAACUCUUAAAAUGGAACCUUCUUAGUUGCGAUUGGUCAUGGAGCAUAAAAUUAGAAUUGGUAUUGCAAAGUUGCAUCUAAACUGUAUAUUAUUCUCUAAUAAGGUUCGAUCUCAUUGUUUAAGCCUAAAGUUUCCCCAGAUAUUCAACAGACUAUAAUCUGUGGUGAUAUUGUUGUAGUAAUUGGUUUAUUUAACUAUAUGGUGGAUAAUAUAGCGAAAUUGAACAAGCUGGGUUCUUACGAAAUGUUGCGGAAAAUCAUGGUGUUGCCAUUACAAAAGCUCGUGAAACUUGAAAUUUCCAUAUUCAUUAAUUCUGCAUAUUCAACUUAAUUCGGGAUUCUACUUUUAUAUAUACUCUUUGUUUACUUAGUAAAUAAUAGUAUUGAGUUAUUGUUUUUAAGUAGUCAUGCCUUCUUUGGCAAGAGUCUAGUCGGAGCUUAGCUGUGUUCUCCUGAUCUAUGAUGUAAUAGUUUCAUUCCAUUGGAAGUUUUUUGUUAUGGUACCCCUGUUGUAGUUUUUGGGAGGGGUACCUUGUGUAGGCAGGUUUGGAACUUUGUCCUUAAAAACAAUUGUGUAUUCCGGUUAGAUUUGACCCGUAUCAUAUGAUGAUGGGUGGCUUUUCCCUCCAAUAAGCUGGAGGCGCAUUUGUGCUGACUGGUGCUAAAGUUGAUAGCUUGUGUUGCGCUUUCCGCACGAGGUAAUUUUCUCCGGGAUACCUCACUUUGGUGAGGAAUUUGUGAGACUCUAAGCGUGUUGCUGUUGCUGGUUUGAAUCUAUGGUUUUCAUUAUGGUUUGAAGCUUUGCUUUUGCGUGAUCAGCAAGUCUCGACAUUGGUUGGUUUUACAAGCCAUUUCAUCCAAGAUGUAGUGUUGACGGAAGAUGUUAGAGCUUGUUGCUGUUGCUGGUUUGGAUCUGUGGUUUUCAUUAUGUUUCCGAGCUGUGCUUUUGUGUAAUCAGCAAAAGUAUCAACACCAAUUUGUUUUGCAAGCAGGUUCAUCCAAGAUGAAGUGUCGACGGAAGAUAUCAUGUCUGUAUAUCCCAAAGAAUUUAAAGAAGCGUAUUUUCUGUGCCUUUACUAUUUUCUGAAUGGAAAAGUUAAUCUAGCUUGUUUGAAGAGUUGGUAUGGUAUGAUAUUUCUUUUUGGAAGUGUUUUCUCAGGAAAACCUUGUAGCAAGCAACUGAUAUAGUCUCGAACUGUGUUGUGCUUGUGCUUUCUGGCAUUCUGAGGGCAUGAAUAAUUAAAUUGUCUGCCUGCAAACUGGACCUUUUCUCAUGUUUGUAAGAAUGUGGACAAUUAACAGUUUUUACACAGGCAGUCUGCUGUUGCGAAUCUGCUGGUUCGACAGUGUUCAGUCAGAAGAUUGCUAUUUCCGUAUGGUUGGUAACACCUAAAAAUCAAGUAGAGAGAGUGUUGCUACUUCAUCAAAUUUUCGUGAUCAUGGUCACAUCUUUGGGGCUCAGAAGUAUAAAAUAUUGAGUUGGAAGUACAAAGAGGUGGAAUUAAUAACAUUUUUAAAUGUCUAGUAAAGUAAUAUUCAUACUGUGGCAUUAAUUUUAAUUCUCUGAUUAUAUAGCUUAGUUGGAGUAUUGUGGUUGUAGCUGGCACAAAAUGAAUAGCAGUUCCAUUUUCUUGGA